AACGGUCUAUACCUGCGGUACCUGCGGAAGGAUCAUUACAUGAUUUGAGGGGGCUCACGUCCCCUCAUCCAACCCACAGACCCCGAGGAACUUUUAUGUCGAGUGGUUCGGCGCUCUCUUUGAGAGCCGCCCCUCAAACGCAUCGCAGGCUUUUCGUGAAGGUCUGAUGUGUCACAUCGUGAGUAUUAAAACUUUCAACAACGGAUCUCU
rnacentral:misc_RNA from 1 species